rnacentral:rRNA from 1 species
AUACGUAGGGUGCAAGCGUUAAUCGGAAUUACUGGGCGUAAAGCGUGCGCAGGCGGUUUUGUAAGACAGAGGUGAAAUCCCCGGGCUCAACCUGGGAACUGCCUUUGUGACUGCAAGGCUGGAGUGCGGCAGAGGGGGAUGGAAUUCCGCGUGUAGCAGUGAAAUGCGUAGAUAUGCGGAGGAACACCGAUGGCGAAGGCAAUCCCCUGGGCCUGCACUGACGCUCAUGCACGAAAGCGUGGGAAGAAAACAGGAUUAGAUACCCUGGUAUUCCACGCCCUAAACGAUGUCAACUGGUUGUUGGGGAUUUAUUUUCUCAGUAACGAAGCUAACGCGUGAAGUUGACCGCCUGGGGAGUACGGCCGCAAGGUUAAAACUCAAAUGAAUUGACGGGG